rnacentral:misc_RNA from 1 species
CAAGUUCUCAAACCACAUCAAUGAUUUCUUGUUGGUGUGGCUUGGAUGUGGGGGAUUAUUCAUUUUGCAGGCUUCUGUCAAAGGAGGUCAGCUCCCCUGAAAUAGAUUAGUAGUAUCUGAGCUACUUACAGGUGUGAUAAUUAUCUAUGCCUGCUUGCAUUGAACAGAUUGCACCGCUUCAAACAAGUGAAGGGUCUCGAGAAGGGACUCCACAUUUGACAA